rnacentral:rRNA from 1 species
GAUGAACGCUAGCUGCAGGCUUAACACAUGCAAGUCGAGGGGCAGCGCAGUGUAGCAAUACAUGGGCGGCGACCGGCGCACGGGUGCGUAACACGUAUCCAACCUUCCCGUUACUCAGGGAUAGCCUUCCGAAAGGGAGAUUUAUACCUGAUGGUGUUUGAAUUCCGCAUGUUAUUCAAACUAAAGAUUUAUCGGUAACGGAUGGGGAUGCGUGACAUUAGGUAGAUGGCGGGGUAACGGCCCACCAUGCCCACGAUGUCUAGGGGUUCUGAGAGGAAGGUCCCCCACACUGGAACUGAGACACGGUCCAGACUCCUACGGGAGGCAGCAGUGAGGAAUAUUGGUCAAUGGUCGGAAGACUGAACCAGCCAAGUGGCGUGAAGGAUGAAGGUUCUAUGGAUUGUAAACUUCUUUUAUACGGGAAUAAAACCACCUACGUGUAGGUGCUUGUAUGUACCGUAUGAAUAAGCAUCGGCUAACUCCGUGCCAGCAGCCGCUGUAAAAC